UAGGGAAUUUUCGUCAAUGGGCGCAAGCCUGAACGAGCAAUGCCGCGUGAGUGAGGAAGGUCUUCGGAUCGUAAAGCUCUGUUGCGGGGGAAAAAGGAAGCAGAAAGGAAAUGGUCUGCUUUUGAUGGUACCCCGCAGAAAGUCACGGCUAACUACGUGCC
rnacentral:rRNA from 1 species